GCCACUGAUAUAAAAUAAUAGAUCACCUUCAUAUACAAACCAUCGUUUAAUUUGAGUAACAAUCCUCUUACAGUAAUUGACCCUGCAACCAUUGACUGAAGAUUACUGCAACCCAUCUGUUUUCAGUUGACCAUUUUUCACCUGCAAAAGGAUUUUCACGUUUAGCGAUGACAUCCGCCUUCAGCUACGUUUAGAAUCAGUUGUAAAAAACCUGAGGAGAUUCAAAGAAAAUCUGUUGGUGAAGUGGCGAGUAGACACUAUAUGAAGAGAGAAUCCAAAGUUGCUGUGAAGAAUAAAAGAUGACUUUGAAAUGAAUAGCAGGUAUUAGGUAUUGGAUGAAUACUAGAUUCAAAAUAUUGAGCAGUUAAAGGGCAAUGAACUGAAUAAACUGGUCUCAAUACAAGGCUCCUUUGGCCUUUUUUUAUUGUGAGGCAAUUACAGUUAAUGAAUUUGGUAAAAUCUUUUGAUCAUUAAUUUGUAGAGGUUUUGCUGAGUGGUUUAUGCUAAGGAAGAUAAUACCUAUUAUUGUACCAAGCUGAAUGCGUGUAUACGUGACAUAUUAUCAGUUCAUUGCACUUCAAGGAAAAUAUCUCUGAAAAAUAGAUCUCUUUAUUUAACUAUUAAGGAUUAGGAAAGCAAUGGUGUGUAGAAAUUCAAUUUAGUUCUAUCAUAGUUGCAGGUAGUACUACAAAUUAAUACCUAUGUUUCACUUGAUUUUUCAAAUGACUCAAAACCUGUAUUAUGUGAUGAACCAAAUUAAUCUUCAGCUAAUCCGUAAAGCAUAACUAAAUACUAUUGUUAUUUAAAGUUGAUGUCGAUUGCGGGUUCACUCAUUGUCAGCACGGGGGAUUGAAACAAUUUUAUACCAAUUUGCUGAGUGAAACUUGUAAAAAUGAUAACAUGAUGGCGAGAUGGUUGGGUUGGUGAUCGUAAUUCACCAGUGACUGAUAACAGACCAGCUGAUAAUAAAUAUAAUCUCGUCAUUAAUAAUACUAGUUGUAAGAUACAUUUUAAUUAAGUUGAGAAUUCGUCAAAUGCCAGAUUGAAUAGUCCUUUACUUCUCUCUGUAAUUUCUCUGUUUGAAAUGUCGGUAAGGAAUCGAUAGAUUCUUAUAAAUUUAGAUAAAAACCAAAAUAAAAAGACGAAGUCGGUUUUCAUCCAAGAUUUUAAACUGGGUUCUUAAUUCGAGAGGUAAGUUUGUAUCUCCAGACGUACAUAAAAAACGUUGUAAAAAUAUAUAUGGAAUAAACUGAAAAUGAACAAAGCUUGUUAAUUGUACCCCCCAUGGAAGCUACAAGCAAAAAAAUUAUACGAUACUGAAAUAAUACUAUAUUCUAGUCACCGUCAAUCGCAAUUUUCUGGAGUCAUUUUGUUGCAUACCCUGAAUAAUUCAACAUCUUGUUCUUCAAAUAAUAACUUUUGCUUCGAUAACAUAUAAAUUCAGAUCAGUAAGAUCAGUAAGAUCGAAUUUUUUGAGCAUAUGCAGAAGAGUUCAGUUAGAUGCAAAUAUGGAUAACGAUAUUUGGAAAAGUUGCGUUGCCUCGACGUUGAUCCUAGUUAUUAUACUAUUCAUGGUGUCACCCAGCAAGUCGAUAUAUCUAUAUAUCUCCAUUGGAACUGUAUGCAUGGGUUUAAACCCAUAAUAUAUUGAGAGAUUAUGUAUGUCUUAUGUGUAUU